rnacentral:rRNA from 1 species
UGGGGAAUCUUGGUCAAUGGACGCAAGUCUGAACCAGCGACGCCGCGUGAGUGAUGAAGGCCUUCGGGUUGUAAAGCUCUGUGGGGAGAGACGAAAAAAGUCCGGGCGAACAGGCCGGGCUCUUGACGGUACCUCCUUAGCAAGCACCGGCUAACUCUGUGCCAGCAGCCGCGGUAAGACAGAGGGUGCGAACGUUGCUCGGAAUUACUGGGCGUAAAGCGCGUGUAGGCGGAUCGGUGUGUCGGACGUGAAAUCCCUGGGCUCAACCCGGGAACUGCGCUCGAAACUGCCGAUCUAGAGUGCCGGAGAGGGUGGCGGAAUUCCUGGUGUAGAGGUGAAAUUCGUAGAUAUCAGGAGGAACACCGGUGGCGAAGGCGGCCACCUGGACGGCCACUGACGCUGAGACGCGAAAGCGUGGGGAGCAAACAGGAUUAGAUACCCGCGUAGUCC